rnacentral:rRNA from 1 species
GACGAACGCUGGCGGCGUGCUUAACACAUGCAAGUCGAACGGAAAGGCCCUGCUUUUGUGGGGUGCUCGAGUGGCGAACGGGUGAGUAACACGUGAGUAACCUGCCCUUGACUUUGGGAUAACUUCAGGAAACUGGGGCUAAUACCGGAUAGGAGCUCCUGCUGCAUGGUGGGGGUUGGAAAGUUUCGGCGGUUGGGGCUGGACUCGCGGCUUAUCCGCUUGUUGGUGGGGUAGUGGCUUACCAAGGCUUUGACGGGUAGCCGGCCUGAGAGGGUGACCGGCCACAUUGGGACUGAGAGACGGCCCAGACUCCUACGGGAGGCAGCAGUGGGGAAUAUUGCACAAUGGGCGGAAGCCUGAUGCAGCAACGCCGCGUGCGGGAUGACGGCCUUCGGGUUGUAAACCGCUUUCGCCUGUGACGAAGCGUGAGUGACGGUAAUGGGUAAAGAAGCACCGGCUAACUACGUG